AUUGAACGCUGGCGGCAGGCCUAACACAUGCAAGUCGAACGAGUGGCGGACGGGUGAGUAAUGUCUGGGAAACUGCCUGAUGGAGGGGGAUCACUACUGGCAACGGUAGCUAAUACCGCAUACCAUCAGAUACGCCCAGAUGGGAUUAGCUAGUUGGUGGGGUAACGGCUAACCAAGGCGACGAUCCCUAGCUGGUCUGAGAGGAUGGCCAGCCACAGCGGAACGACGACACGGUCCAGACUCCUACGGGAGGCAGCAGUGGGGAAUAUUGCACAAUGGGCGCAAGCCUGAUGCAGCCAUGCCGCGUGUAUGAAGAAGGCCUCCGGGUUGGAAAGUACUUUCAGCGGGGAGGCGUUACCCGCAGAAGAAGCACCGGCUAACUCCGUGCAAGCAGCCGCGGUAAUAC
rnacentral:rRNA from 1 species